AGAGUUGGAUCCUGGCUCAGGAUGAACGUUGGCGGUGUGCCUAAUACAUGCAAGUCGAACGGUGACGAUUUUGUAGCAAUACGAAUGAAAUCAUAGUGGCGAACGGGUGAGUAACGCGUUGGUGAUCUGCCUCGAAGUGUGGAAUAACUUCCCGAAAGGGUAGCUAAUACCGCAUAGUCUCUCAAGGUUUAGAAAAUUGAGAGUAAAGGAUUUAUUCGCUUCGAGAGGAGCCUGCGUCCCAUCAGCUAGUUGGUAGGGUAAUAGCCUACCAAGGCAAUGACGGGUAGGGGACCUGAGAGGGUGGCCCCCCACAAUGGAACUGAAACACGGUCCAUACACCUACGGGUGGCAGCAGUAGGGAAUAUUAGAAAUGGGCGAAAGCCUGAUCUAGCAACACCGCGUGUGCGAUGAAGGCCUUCGGGUUGUAAAGCACUUUUUGGAGGGAAUAGGAAGGAAGGUGCCUCCAGAAUAAGUCUCGGCUAACUACGUGCCAGCAGCCGCGGUAACACGUAGGAGGCAAACGUUAUCCGGAUUCACUGGGCGUAAAGCGCGUGUAGGUGGUUCUGUAAGUAGGGCGUGAAAGCUCCCGGCUCAACUGGGAGAGGCCGUACUAAACUGCAGAGCUAGAGGAUGGUAGAGGGAGGUGGAAUUCCAGGUGUAGUGGUGAAAUGCGCAGAUAUCUGGAGGAACACCAGUGGCGAAGGCGGCCUCCUGGACCAUUCCUGACACUCAGACGCGAAAGCUAGGGUAGCAAACGGAAUUAGAGACUCCGGUAGUCCUAGCCCUAAACGAUGCAGACUAGGCGUCGGCGGUUUAAUCACCGUCGGUGUCCAAGCUAACGCGAUAAGUCUGCCGCCUGAGGACUACGGCCGCAAGGCUAAAACUCAAAGGAAUUGACGGGGGCCCGCACAAGCGGUGGAGCAUGUGGUUUAAUUCGAUGCAACGCGAAGAACCUUACCAGGUCUUGACAUCCAAAGAAUCCUGAUGAAAGUCGGGAGUGCCUUAGGGAGCUUUGAGACAGGUGGUGCAUGGUUGUCGUCAGCUCGUGUCGUGAGAUGUUGGGUUAAGUCCCGCAACGAGCGCAACUCUUGCUAUUAGUUGCUAACAUUGAGUUGAGCACUCUAAUGGGACUGCCCGCGACAAGCGGGAGGAAGGUGGGGAGGACGUCAAAUCAUCAUGCCCUUUAUGAUCUGGGCUACACACGUGCUACAAUGGAUGGUACAGAGAGCAGCGAGACAGUGAUGUGGAGCGAAUCUCAAAAAGCCAUUCUCAGUUCGGAUUGCAGGCUGCAACUCGCCUGCAUGAAGUCGGAAUCGCUAGUAAUCGCGGAUCAGCAUGUCGC
rnacentral:rRNA from 1 species